rnacentral:rRNA from 1 species
UACAGAGGCCCCGAGCGUUAGGCGGAAUCACUGGGCUUAAAGCGUGUGUAGGUGGAUGCCUAAGUACCUUGUGAAAUCCCACGGCUUAACCGUGGAAUUGCUGGGUAUACUGGGUGUCUUGAGCCACUCAGGGGCUACCGGAACAAAUGGUGGAGCGGUGAAAUGCGUAGAUAUCAUUUGGAACGCCAAUGGUGAAAACAGGUAGCUGGGGGGUGUGCUGACACUGAGACACGAAAGCCAGGGGAGCAAACGGG